rnacentral:rRNA from 1 species
UACGGGGGGGGCAAGCGUUGUUCGGAAUUACUGGGCGUAAAGGGCUCGUAGGGGGCCAACUAAGUCAGACGUGAAAUCCCCAGGCUCAACUUGGGAACUGCGUCUGAUACUGGAUGGCUUGAAUUCGGGAGAGGGAUGCAGAAUUCCAGGUGUAGCGGUGAAAUGCGUAGAUAUCUGGAGGAAUACCGGUGGCGAAGGCGGCAUCCUGGACCGAGAUUGACACUGAUGAGCGAAAGCUAGGGGAGCAAACGGG